UUACUAUGAUGACUUAUCUUAGGACACCUUUGGAAUACCCAUGGAAUAAAAAGUUAUUACUGAGCAAC
rfam:Gallus gallus breed Red Jungle fowl, inbred line TCD001 Contig896.1, whole genome shotgun sequence. [11-NOV-2016]